rnacentral:rRNA from 1 species
UACGUAGGGUGCAAGCGUUGUCCGGAAUUAUUGGGCGUAAAGAGCUCGUAGGCGGUCUGUCGCGUCUGCUGUGAAAACCUAGGGCUUAACUCUGGGCGUGCAGUGGGUACGGGCAGGCUAGAGUACUAAAGAGGAUCGCGGAAUUCCCGGUGUAGAGGUGAAAUUCGUAGAUAUCGGGAGGAACACCGGUGGCGAAGGCGGCGAUCUGGGUAGAUACUGACGCUGAGGUGCGAAAGCGUGGGGAGCAAACAGG